AAAGGGAUAUAACAACACACAAUAAUAAAACAAAAUGCUAAAGCUAAAGAAAUAAAAAAUCAAAGACAAUAAAACAAACAUCAUAGUCCAGGCCCAAUGAGAAUAGGGUGCAGAGAUUAAAACCAGGGGUGCUUAGCAAAGUUGAGAGUGUCAGGGGUGUAUUGAUUAAAUUGGCAGUGCAGCGUGAAAUAGCCUGUCCUGGCCCAAUCUUCUUUUUGUUUGCAGAAAGGGAAAAGUGGUAUGAAUAGCGAAUAGGAGGUGGCAUGAAGAGUACAGCCCAAUGGCUAGGCCCAAGGCCUUUUCUUCUUCAACUUUAUAAUCUGCCAAGGGUGCAAAACUGAAAGUGGGGGUGCAGCUCUAAAUUUCUUGGUCCAGGCCCAAGGUAGGGGUGCAAGGCUAACGGUGGAGGUGCAACUUGAAAUAAUCCUUUGGCCCAAACCGGUUUUUAUUCGCGGAAAAAAUAAGGGCUUCAACUCAUAUAGCAGGGGUGUGAAUAGCGUUAUGUGUGGUGGUAGGAGGAGAGAAUAGGGCCUAAUAUCCAGGCCCAGUGCCCUUUGCCUCUCAAAACUUUAGGGGUUCCAGCAGCUCCUCUCCAUUUCCUUCAUUUGUGCUUGACACCCACCAAAGACCUAGGGUCUCUCUUUCAAAUGAAACAACCAAAGGAAGGACCUUCGGUCACGCAGACACACCACCACCUCCUUACCAGACGACCGCCACUAGCNGCAGCCCAAGACGNCGCCAGUGCGUCGAUCGNCGCCACGGACCCAGCCGGUCGUCGUGCCNAGCUUUCUNUUCUCCUCACGCCAGAAGAAUCUCCCCACCCUAGGUCACGAAGUCCUUCGUUGUCAGGGCCGCCGGAGACGACGCCGAUCACCACCAGAGUUACAUAAGGGUACCGCCGACACCAAGCAAGGGUNGACGCUCUGCGUCGAGCUUUCCCUUCCACCCUCACGUCGCAGCCACCGAACCAAGUUCUCCCUUCUUCCUCUGAUAUCUAUUUUCCGAUUUGGGUGCUGGAAAGCUGGCAGUGAGAGUGGAUGAUGAAGGAUACUUGAGACCGAUUUUGGUUUUCUUUGUGCGGUUCCGACCUUGGAUGGCUUUUUUUUCUUUCUUGUAGAUGAAAAGCAGCUGCGGCAACCAAGGGAUGGAUGGUGGCUGAAUAUUAAGUGAAGGGAAAAUGGGUUUCUCUGUUGUUGUGAGUGAAGGAGGAAAUUGGUUCCAAAGGGGAUGAUUAUUUGAUUUUGAUCUCUCGAAUGGUAAGUGGUAGAGGUUAGGAAGUGAGUGAGUUCUUCUGUGUUUCUUUCAUGUGCUGGACCGAAAAAGAGGGGAGAAUUCUGGGGAUUCUGAUAAGUGGAAAAUGAAAUUCAAGUUGGUGAGAGGAAGGGAUUCUGUUACAUGUGAUGGUUGAAGGGAUCAAUUCAAUUGGGGAAAAUGACGGGUUGGAGUAAUGGAGAUUGGUUUCUGUUCUUGUUGAUUGAGAGUGAUGUGUGAGGGAAUAGGUGAAUUCAGGGUAGUGUGUGAGCUGAACUAUAAAUUUGUUGUAGUUGGUUACGGGUUAGGGAAGAGAGGGAGCCUUUGGUGGUUCUCGUGGUUGGGUUGAUGGUGAAGAUGGAAGGGAUGAAGGGCGAGANNN
rnacentral:lncRNA from 1 species